rnacentral:rRNA from 2 species
AAGGGCGCACGGUGGAUGCCUUGGCACUAGGAGCCGAUGAAGGACGGGACUAACACCGAUAUGC